rnacentral:rRNA from 1 species
AGAAAAAUGAUAUAUAAGUAUUACUUGUAAAUAUAUAAGUAUAUAAAGAAACUAUUAUGGAAUUUAAGCUAUGUAUUAAAGAGAAUUAUUUAUAUAUAUAGAGAUAUAAUAUCCUAUAAUUAUAUGAACUCUAAGAGAAAUCUAAUAUUAAACGAAGUGAAUUGAAAUAUCUUAGUAACUUUAGGAAAAGAAAUCAAAAGAGAUUCUAUGAAUAGCGUGAGCGAAAGUAGAGUAGCCUAUAAAGUAGAACGGUCUCAAAACUGUUUAAAUAUAAUGGGGAACCUUCCUCAAAGGCUAAAUAUAAUACAUAAGCGAUAGUGAAAAGUACCAUGAGGGAACAAAAACAAAAAUAGUAGUUUUAUAAGCAGUUCGAUAAAAAGAACGUACCUUUUGCAUAAUGGGUCACCAAGUUAACGUUAGAUGCGAGUAUACGCGUAGUUAAACCGAACGUUAAAAUAACGAAAUAGUGUCUAAAGUUAGACCCGAAGCACGGUGAUUUUACCAUGGUCAGGAUUAUAAAAGUCCGAACGGGUGAUUGUAGCAAAAAUCUCCGAAGAACUGUGGUAGGUGUAGUGAAAGACAACACUGACUGUGAUAGCUGGUUUUCUGCGAAACCUAUAAUAGUAGGCAAUUUAAGUAAAUAUCUUAGCAGGUACAGAAUUUAAUCUCAGACAAGGCGUGUAAACGUUUUAUAUUGUAUAAAUUGGGGAAUCAUGAAGAUUUUAUCAGUGAGUAUGUAGACUCGGAAUGGCAAAGAUAUGUCUUAAAUUAUCAGACAUAGAAUGAUAAGGUUGUAUGUCGAAAGGGAAACAGCCCAGAACAAGAGUUAAGGUUCCUAAAUUAUUAGUUAAGUGAAAUUAAGAAGGUUUUUAUUAAAGUCGACAAGGAGAUAGGCUUAGAAGCAGCCAUAAUUUUAUGACCUCGUAACAGAGCGCUUGUUAAGUUAUAAAAGCAUCGAAAAUUUAACGGAUCUAAACAAUAUACCGAAACCUUGUCCAUAAUAUAUUAUAUUAAUUAUUUUUAAUGUAAUUUAAUGGGGUAGCAGAACGUUGAGCUAGAUUAUGAUUUCUAUUUUUUAAAUAGAAUUAUAUUAAUUUAACUCAAGUGAGAAUGGUGACAUGAGUAACGAAAAGAAAAUUUUCCGCCUUAAGCUUAUGGAUAUAAUUAAGUAACGGCCUCUAAGUUUAUAUUAUCUAAAGAUUUAAACGAUGAGAAAAUCUUUUUUACUAAGGACAACAUUUUAGUGUAAAAUGUGCUGGAAAAAUAGUAAAUAUAUUUGUUAUUUAUAACAAAUGAACAAUAACCGUACCUAGAAUCUGAAACAAGUAAGCUAGUAGAGAAUACGAAGGCGUAAAUGAGCUAACAAUCAUAAAGGAACUCGGCAAAUUGACUACCGUAACUUCGGAAUAAGGAGGGCUCAUUAUUCUUGAUUAAUAUCAAGUAAAGAGGAAGAAGCAUGAAAUAAUGUUGUACGACUGUUUAAUUAAAACACAGCACUUUGCUGAAAGAUUAAAAAUCUAUGUAUAAAGUGUGAUAUCUGCCCGGUGCCGGCUGGUUAACAGAGAUAAUUGAAUAUACUACUAUUUGAUGUCGACGGAAACCCCGGUUAAAGGCGGCCUUAACGUGAGGGUCCUAAGGUAGCGAAAUGCCUUGGCCGUUAAAUGCGGUCUUGCAUGAAUGGUGUAACGAUACAACAGCUGUCUCUAUGAUUGACUCAGUGAAAUUGGAAUAGCUGUGCAGAUACAGCUUACCUCUAGUUAGACGAGAAGACCCUAUGCAGCUUUACUGUCACUAAUUAUAGAGUAUGAUAGACAAUUUUCAGAAUAUAAGGUAAUUGACAAUAUGACAAUGAGAAUCCUUUAUUUUUCUUUCAUAUGAAUGAAUUGGUUUAGGAUUAUGAGUAGAUUGUAAUUAAUGUGGCUUAUUACUGAGUCAUUAAAAAACAUUAAUUAUAGUCUUUAAAUUAUUAUAUAGCUCAUUUUAGUAAAUCAGCCUAAUUCAACUUAUUAUUUUAGAAUAGUAAGUACCCUUUGGCAAGGAACUAUCGCUAGGGGACAGUUUAUGUGGGGCACAGACCCUGUAAAGAGUAAACAGGAGUGUCUAAUAAUUAUAAAUUAUUUUGUUUGCUAUUUUGAGUAGUUUAACUAUUUUUAAUCAUAUAUAAUUAUUUAUAUUUGCAUUUAUUGUAAAUAUAUUUAAGUUUAGGUAGGAUUUUUACUAUAUAGAAAUUAGAGAUAAUUGAAAACAUUACGAAUUAUUUCUAAUGUUUUCUAGCUAUCAUUUUUGAUAGUUAUGUAUUUAAUAUCUAAAAAGCUCAACGGCUAAAUCUUGCCUUACUGUUUGAUUAUCUACAAAUCUUACAGUUGCGUAAGCAGGGCAUAGGAUCACAAGAUGCAAUAAGGAAAGAUCUUGGAUUAUUGGAAAAGCUACGCUAGGGAUAACAGGCUAAUUUGCGCAAGAGUGUACAAAAUGAGUGCGCGGUUUGGCACCUCGAUGUCGGCUUAACUUAUCCUCAUGGACGCAGGAACUAUGUAGGGUGCGACUGUUCGUCGAUUAAAAAGUUACAUGAGCUGGGUUAAAUACGUCGUGAGACAGUAUGGUUUCUAUCUUCUAGGGGGAAUUAGAAUAAAAUAAGAACGAACUUUUGUACGCAAGGAACAAGAAGAGUUUAGCCCGUAAAAAAGGUUAAAAUAUAGUUACUAACCUAUGGUUUACCUGUUGUUUAUGUGCCCAAAUAUUAAAUAUAUAUGCUAUUGUAUAUAUAUAUAUGUAUUAUUAUAAUACAUAGGGAUGUUUCUCUCACUAAGAUAAAUGUAUAGCAUAAGCACGGCAGGAACGCUAAGUUGGUUAAGGAUAAGUGCUGAAAGCAUAUAGGCACGAAGCUUAUCUUAAGAUAUUUCUUAAAUAUACGUAAUAUAUUAUUACGAAAUUUAUAGGCUUUAUCCGUACGAAUCUAGAGAUUUUAAAGAAUAAAGUACUAAUUUAAUAAUUCACUAUUUAUAAAUAUAUCA